GACGAACGCUGGCGGCGUGCCUAAUACAUGCCAGUAGAACGCUGAAGGAGGAGCUUGCUUCUCUGGAUGAGUUGCGAACGGGUGAGUAACGCGUAGGUAACCUGCCUGGUAGCGGGGGAUAACUAUUGGAAACGAUAGCUAAUACCGCAUAAGAGUAGAUGUUGCAUGACAUUUACUUAAAAGGUGCAAUUGCAUCACUACCAGAUGGACCUGCGUUGUAUUAGCUAGUUGGUGAGGUAACGGCUCACCAAGGCAACGAUACGUAGCCGACCUGAGAGGGUGAUCGGCCACACUGGGACUGAGACACGGCCCAGACUCCUACGGGAGGCAGCAGUAGGGAAUCUUCGGCAAUGGACGGAAGUCUGACCGAGCAACGCCGCGGGAGUGAAGAAGGGUUUCGGAUCGUAAAGCUCUGUUGUAAGAGAAGAACGAGUGUGAGAGUGGAAAGUUCACACUGUGACGGUAUCUUACCAGAAAGGGACGGCUAACUACGUG
rnacentral:rRNA from 1 species